rnacentral:rRNA from 1 species
UACGUAGGGACCAAGCGUUGUUCGGAUUUACUGGGCGUAAAGGGCGCGUAGGCGGCGCGGUAAGUCACUUGUGAAAUCUCUGAGCUUAACUCAGAACGGCCAAGUGAUACUGCAGUGCUAGAGUGUGGAAGGGGCAAUCGGAAUUCUUGGUGUAGCGGUGAAAUGCGUAGAUAUCAAGAGGAACACCAAUAGCGAAGGCAGCUCGCUGGGACGGUACUGACGCUGAGGCGCGAAAGCGUGGGGAGCGAACAGG